CGCAGUGGCAGCUAUAAUGCAGUCGAGCGAACGGCGAAGAAGCUUGCUUCUUCAAUGUUAGCGGCGGACGGGUGAGUAACACGUGGGCAAUCUGCCCGUAAGACUGGGAUAACUCCGGGAAACCGGGGCUAAUACCGGAUAACACUUUUCAUCUCCUGGUGAAAAGUUGAAAGAUGGUUUCGGCUAUCACUUACGGAUGAGCCCGCGGCGCAUUAGCUAGUUGGUGAGGUAACGGCUCACCAAGGCGACGAUGCGUAGCCGACCUGAGAGGGUGAUCGGCCACACUGGGACUGAGACACGGCCCAGACUCCUACGGGAGGCAGCAGUAGGGAAUCUUCCGCAAUGGACGAAAGUCUGACGGAGCAACGCCGCGUGAGUGAAGAAGGUUUUCGGAUCGUAAAACUCUGUUGUUAGGGAAGAACACGUACGAGAGUAACUGCUCGUACCUUGACGGUACCUAACCAGAAAGCCACGGCUAACUACGUGCCAGCAGCCGCGGUAAUACGUAGGUGGCAAGCGUUGUCCGGAAUUAUUGGGCGUAAAGCGCGCGCAGGCGGUUCCUUAAGUCUGAUGUGAAAGCCCCCGGCUCAACCGGGGAGGGUCAUUGGAAACUGGGGAACUUGAGUGCAGGAGAGGAAAGCGGAAUUCCACGUGUAGCGGUGAAAUGCGUAGAUAUGUGGAGGAACACCAGUGGCGAAGGCGGCUUUCUGGUCUGUAACUGACGCUGAGGCGCGAAAGCGUGGGGGAGCAAACAGGAUUAGAUACCCUGGUAGUCCACGCCGUAAACGAUGAGUGCUAAGUGUUGGAGGGUUUCCGCCCUUCAGUGCUGCAGCUAACGCAUUAAGCACUCCGCCUGGGGAGUACGGUCGCAAGACUGAAACUCAAAGGAAUUGACGGGGGCCCGCACAAGCGGUGGAGCAUG
rnacentral:rRNA from 1 species